AUUGAACGCUGGCGGUAGGCCUAACACAUGUAAGUCGAACGAGCGGUGGACGGGUGAGGAAUACACCGGAAUCUACUCUGUCGUGGGGGAUAACGUAGGGAAACUUACGCUAAUACCGCAUACGUCUGAAUGAGCCGAUGUCGGUUUAGCUAGUUGGCGGGGUAAAGGCCUACAACGGCGACGACCCGUAGCUGGUCUGAGAGGAUGAUCAGCCACACUGGAACUGAGACGCGGUCCGGACUCCUACGGGGAGGAGCAGUGGGGAAUAUUACACAAAGGGCGCAAGCCUGAUGCAGCCAUGCCGCGUGUAUGAAGAAGGCCUUCGGGUUGUAAAGUACUUUCAGCGAGGAGGCGUUACCCGCAGAAGAAGCACCGGCUAACUCCGUGCCAGCAGCCGCGGUAAUAC
rnacentral:rRNA from 1 species